UUUAGAUCCCUAGACCUCUUUGACCUUAGCUGGCUUGCAUGCCAAUACUUUUGUUUGUCUUCAUGAUGUUUAGUGAUAGUUGGUUUGUUGUUUCUCUCACAAGGCAUGUGUAUGCUGGUUAAGAAUUCUUAGUCAUAAGCAUAUUGAGAUGCUUAUCAUGGUUCAUCCUACUCUUCAUCUCUUUAUAUUUAUCUUAUAUGCUAAUUAACCCUUUAAGGAUGUCUACAUAGAC
rnacentral:lncRNA from 1 species